rnacentral:tmRNA from 1 species
GGGGUUGUACUGGUUUCGACGGGGGUUUUGAAGUUCGGGGAGCCAUCCGCAGACCGUGGCUGCGUUAAAAAACGGAACUUAAACAUAAACGCAAACAACAACUACGCGUUAGCUGCUUAAGCAGCUUGUCGGCCCGGGGCUGCCUGCCCCUCCGGAUACCGGCAUCAUGAUCGGCGGGGCACUGACGUGCCUAAGCUUUGCGGCGCGAACAGUAUGAUGAAGCUACUGAAGUCCUGAGCCCGUCUGCGGGCGCCUGACGGAGGGAAUGUCAAACCGCAGACUAUGAUGGUAGCGCCCGGGAGGGAUAGGCUUUCGGACAGGGGUUCGAUUCCCCUCAGCUCCAU